GCCGCGGUGCGGGCCGAGUGGGCUGCGGGGAUGCGGGGCACGAGCUGUGUGGGCGGCGGCGGCGAAAGCCCUGGCGGCGCCGGGCUGAGCGAGGGCCCGCGGGGCCGCUGGCUGCGCCUGGCCCCGGUCUGCGCCUACUUCCUCUGCGUCUCGCUGGCCGCCGUGCUGCUCGCCGUGUACUACGGUCUCAUCUGGGUCCCCACGCGGCCCCCCGCGGGCCCCGCCGGCCCGCUGCCCAGCGCGCCGUCUCCUCCGUGUGCUGCCCGCCCGGGCGCGCCACCCGCCCCGGCGCCCGCCGCUGCCUCCAUCUCCUGCCUCCUGGGAGCCCCCGGCGGGCCGCGACCCCAGCUCCAGCUGCCGCCGAGCCGCCGCCGCCGCAGCGCCCCUAGCCGUGGCCCAAGCCGCCAGACGCCCAGAGAGACGCCAGAGGCCGCGGGGGGCUGAGGACCCGGGUAACCCUCCCUUCCACCCCAACCCGGACCAUCAGCCCUCGAGAGCCCGGUGCUCCAUGCCGUGGAUGCGCCGGCCCCGGGUGGGCCCGGGCUCCCUCUUAAUGACAUCGCCCAGCGUGUCCGGAGGCGUCAUCCUGAAGAAUGGGGGGAUUCUGAGCACAGAGCCCACAGCUCACCCUUCUCAUCUCCCUGAAUCUCUGUGUCUGUCUGUCCAUCUGCAAUAAACUCC